rnacentral:rRNA from 1 species
GGGCCCGCACAAGCAGCGGAGCGUGUGGUUUAAUUCGAUGAUACGCGAAGAACCUCACCCAGGUUUGACAUGCAUGUGGUACUGAUGUGAAAGCUGAGGGACCCUUCGGGGAGCAUGCACAGGUGUUGCACGGCCGUCGUCAGCUCGUGCCGUGAGGUGUUGGGUUAAGUCCCGCAACGAGCGCAACCCCUGUCGCCAGUUGUACUUUUCUGGCGAGACUGCCGAGAAAACCUCGGAGGAAGGAGGGGACGAUGUCAGGUCAGCGUGGCCCUUACGCCUGGGGCUACACACACGCUACAAUGGGCAGUACAACGGGUCGCGAAACCGCGAGGUGGAGCUAAUCCCAUCAAAGCUGUCCUCAGUUCGGAUUGCAGGCUGAAACCCGCCUGCAUGAAGCCGGAGUUGCUAGUAACCGCAGGUCAGCAUUACUGCGGUGAAUACGUUCCCGGGCCUU